UGGUUUAGUUGUCAGUUAUGUUGUUAGUCAGUUGUAGAAGCCAUCGCUCCGCUAGGCUCAAUUUCCGAUGAAACAUGUCCGAGGAUCUGUGCAUCGUCCUCUGCACUUGCCGUAACCGACGACGUAAUCUUUUUACGAAAACAAAUCGAGAACACUUUCCUGCGAUUUAUCCAUCUUGUUUUAUUACAUGAACUAAAUUAUCCUUAAUAAAAGACCACGCAUACUUCAUCGGAAAUAAUUGGAUGUUAUCCUCAUAUCCUAAUUCUUGUUACAUACGAAUACCUCUCAGUUUAACUGCUGCGAACAUAUCUUUAUUUAUAAUUUUUUUCCUGUCAAAAUGAUGUGGAUGCUUGAGCAUCUGAGCAUACAUGCAAGCUACACC
rnacentral:lncRNA from 1 species